rnacentral:rRNA from 1 species
GACGUAGGGCGCAAGCGUUGUCCGGAAUUAUUGGGCGUAAAGAGCUCGUAGGCGGUUUGUCGCGUCUGCUGUGAAAAUCCAGGGCUUAACCCUGGACCUGCAGUGGGUACGGGCAGACUAGAGUGCGGUAGGGGAGAUCGGAAUUCCUGGUGUAGCGGUGAAAUGCGCAGAUAUCGAGAGGAACACCUGCGGCGAAGGCGGGUUGCUGGGCCGACACUGACGCUGAUGCGCGAAAGCCAGGGGAGCGAACGGG